UAUCAAUAAGCGGAGGAAAAGAAACCAACAGGGAUUGCCCCAGUAACGGCGAGUGAAGCGGCAACAGCUCAAAUUUGAAAUCUGGCCCCCCCCGCGGGGCCCGAGUUGUAAUUUGCAGAGGAUGCUUUUGGCGCGGCGCCUUCCGAGUUCCCUGGAACGGGACGCCAUAGAGGGUGAGAGCCCCGUCUGGUCGGACGCCCAGCCUCUGUAAAGCUCCUUCGACGAGUCGAGUAGUUUGGGAAUGCUGCUCUAAAUGGGAGGUAUAUGUCUUCUAAAGCUAAAUAUUGGCCAGAGACCGAUAGCGCACAAGUAGAGUGAUCGAAAGAUGAAAAGCACUUUGAAAAGAGGGUUAAACAGUACGUGAAAUUGUUGAAAGGGAAGCGCUUGUGACCAGACUUGGGCGCGGCGAAUCAUCCGGCGUUCUCGCCGGUGCACUUCGACGCGCCCGGGCCAGCAUCAGUUCGCGGCGGGGGAUAAAGGCGCCGGGAACGUGGCUCCCCCGGGAGUGUUAUAGCCCGGCGCGCAAUGCCCCGCGGCGGACUGAGGUUCGCGCAUCCGCAAGGAUGCUGGCGUAAUGGUCACCAGUGACCCGUCUUGAAACACGGACCAAGGAGUCGUCCUCGUAUGCGAGUGUUCGGGUGUCAAACCCCUACGCGCAAUGAAAGUGAACGCAGGUGAGAGCCUCACGGCGCAUCAUCGACCGAUCCUGAUGUUCUCGGAUGGAUUUGAGUAAGAGCAUACGGGGCCGGACCCGAAAGAAGGUGAACUAUGCCUGUGUAGGGUGAAGCCAGAGGAAACUCUGGUGGAGGCUCGCAGCGGUUCUGACGUGCAAAUCGAUCGUCAAACAUGGGCAUGGGGGCGAAAGACUAAUCGAACCUUCUAGUAGCUGGUUCCGC
rnacentral:rRNA from 1 species